rnacentral:rRNA from 1 species
GAUGAACGCUAGCGAUAGGCUUAACACAUGCAAGUCGAGGGGCAGCACAAGGUAGCUUGCUAUCUGGGUGGCGACCGGCGCACGGGUGCGUAACGCGUAUGCAACUUGCCCUAUACAGGAGGAUAACCCGUCGAAAGACGGACUAAUACUGCGUAUGCUCACAACUUGGCAUCAAGUGGUGAGGAAAGAAAUUCGGUAUAGGAUAGGCAUGCGUCCCAUUAGCUUGUUGGUGAGGUAACGGCUCACCAAGGCAACGAUGGGUAGGGGAACUGAGAGGUUUAUCCCCCACACUGGUACUGAGACACGGACCAGACUCCUACGGGAGGCAGCAGUGAGGAAUAUUGGUCAAUGGGCGCGAGCCUGAGCCAGCCAAGUCGCGUGAAGGAUGACUGUCUUAUGGAUUGUAAACUUCUUUUAUACGGGAAUAACAAGAGUCACGUGUGACUCCCUGCAUGCACCGUAUGAAUAAGCAUCGGCUAACUCCGUG